CAAAAUGGUGCAGAGAAACCGUUUGGGUGUGUGUGUGUGUGUGUGUGUGUGUGUGUGUGUGUGUGUGUUAGACAUUUGUAGUUUUUGUAAGAUGUUUUAUGAAUACUUUAACAUCUGUUUAAUCUUCCAAACAUGUUCUGGGUAUUAGUUUGAUGAAUUAAUUUUUGAAUUUCACAUUACACUUUUUAUUUUUCGUCUUCCAUGUAAUUUGCCAACUGACAGGCAAUAGUGACCUCUGUCGCUGUUUGAAAUUGUGUAUUGUUUGUACAUCCUCAAAGAAGAUUCACCUUACGAAAGGUGACGGUUUUAAAAUACCUAAUUAUAAUUGUAUUGGUUGCUAUUAUUCAAACGAUCGCAUGCGACACCAUAUUUGACCAAUCAACGUCCAUGUAUUACGUGAACAAUGCCCAAGUGCCCAAUGCCCCCAAAAACAGCUAAUGACUGAGAGACCAGACACGCUCAAAUUCCAGGAGAAGACAUCCCAACCAACAGCCGAAAGGUAAGGUACAAACACGCCUGUGUUGGACACACUCUUCGACAGAUCUGCUCAAGAUAGUGUUGUGGAAAAAAUAGAGAUAUAGAAUUUUAAAUACACUUUCCGAAUAUUGACAGUUACAUUGUACUUGAAAGUAAAUUCCAAAGGUGUAAUUAAUUUGCGUUGCUUAUACAACUUACUUGUAACUGUAUUUUGAAACCUGAAUACUUAAAUAUUUGUAGCUUUUACAAAUUUCCAUAUUUUAUCAUCUUUUUUUAACCUUUGGUAUUAUUAAUAUCUGUGAUAUUAGUUCUACGAUCGCACACAAUAUAUUUAAAUUUGUGUGCAUCUUUGCGCAUGUGUGUACACGCACGUGCGAAUGUUUGUAUAGUAUUCAUACCCGUGAGAGGGGAUUUUGAAUACUAAUGGCUAUUACGAGUUGUGUAUUCGGUAAUAUAAUGUUGCUAUUACAGUGCAUUAUAAAUGAUAAUUAUUAACAUCUUAUUUCUUAUCAAACCUGUAAUAAUUUAUUCCAGACAUUCUCUGACACACAAUGACGUUCAGCAAGAUUUUAUUUUGGGGAGUGUUUAUUGGCGUCCUUUGUCUGGCGUCUGCGAGUCCAUUACAAGAACACAGGAGGAAUAAACGAUUCAUUGGUACCAUGGGGUGUGCAGUAUUCAACGCUUUGAAAAAGUGCACUACUUGGCUUGACGAAUGCCCCAAAGCUGUAUGUCAUGGUUUGGAAAUAUUGUGCUUUCUACCAAACCAUUUUACGAGUAUCUUCACUGAUGCGUGCAAGCCGGAGUACAUUGAAACAGCGAGGAAACUUCUGGGAAUUGACAGCAGUAGAAAGCCUCUCUGAGGAUAAUCAGACCCAUCAGGAAAACUCCGAAAUCUCUCAAUUCGAGAAUCAACCAGGCUAGUCUCCACAAUGACGAACUCCAACAGUAAAAGAUUGUUGUCAAAUAAUAAAAAGAAAGAAAUAUUUUUAAAAAUCACUAACAGUCUAAAUUAUUAACAUUUCAAAGAUAUUUUCGAAAACAUUUAUAGUGGCUAAUGAAACUGACAGACUCCGCUAGUACAAUAUUAUUGUUUUAAAAGUCGUGGACUUGUUUCAAUUUAGCUGAGACUGUCAAAGAAAGCUGUUAACUUAAGAGUCAAAUUAAAUAAACAUGUUGAGAAAGA